rnacentral:rRNA from 1 species
GGGAGCUUGCUCCCUGAAGUCNGCGGCGGACGGGUGAGUAACACGUGGGCAACCUGCCUGUAAGACUGGGAUAACUCCGGGAAACCGGGGCUAAUACCGGAUAAUUCUUUCCCUCACAUGAGGGAAAGCUGAAAGAUGGUUUCGGCUAUCACUUACAGAUGGGCCCGCGGCGCAUUAGCUAGUUGGUGAGGUAACGGCUCACCAAGGCAACGAUGCGUAGCCGACCUGAGAGGGUGAUCGGCCACACUGGGACUGAGACACGGCCCAGACUCCUACGGGAGGCAGCAGUAGGGAAUCUUCCGCAAUGGACGAAAGUCUGACGGAGCAACGCCGCGUGAGUGAUGAAGGUUUUCGGAUCGUAAAACUCUGUUGUUAGGGAAGAACAAGUACCGGAGUAACUGCCGGUACCUUGACGGUACCUAACCAGAAAGCCACGGCUAACUACGUGCCAGCAGCCGCGGUAAUACGUAGGUGGCAAGCGUUGUCCGGAAUUAUUGNGCGUAAAGCGCGCGCAGGCGG